GUGAGGAAUAUUGGUCAAUGGGCGAGAGCCUGAACCAGCCAAGUCGCGUGAAGGAAGAAGGAUCUAUGGUUCGUAAACUUCUUUUGCAGGGGAAUAAAGUGCAGGACGUGUUCUGUUUUGUAUGUACCCUGAGAAUAAGGAUCGGCUAACUCCGUGCCAGCAGCCGCGGUAAUACGGAGGAUCCGAGCGUUAUCCGGAUUUAUUGGGUUUAAAGGGUGCGUAGGUGGAUUGAUAAGUCAGCGGUGAAAGUUUGCAGCUUAACUGUAAAAAUGCCGUUGAAACUGUCGGACUUGAGUGUAAAUGAGGUAGGCGGAAUGCGUGGUGUAGCGGUGAAAUGCAUAGAUAUCACGCAGAACUCCGAUUGCGAAGGCAGCUUACUAAGCUACAACUGACACUGAAGCACGAAAGCGUGGGGAUCAAACAGGAUUAGAUACCCCUGUAGUCC
rnacentral:rRNA from 1 species